rnacentral:rRNA from 1 species
AGAGUUUGAUCAUGGCUCAGAACGAACGUUAGCGGCGCGCCUAACACAUGCAAGUCGAGCGAGAAAGGGCUUCGGCCCCGGUACAGCGGCGCACGGGUGAGUAACACGUAGGUAAUCUACCCCCGAAUGGUGGAUAACCCUCCGAAAGGAGGGCUAAUACAGCAUAAGACCACGGCUUCUUCGGAGGCUGAGGCCAAAGCGGGCCUCUUCACGAAAGCUCGCGUUUGGGAAUGAGCCUGCGGCCCAUCAGCUAGUUGGCGGUGUAAUAGACCACCAAGGCUAAGACGGGUAGCUGGUCUGAGAGGAUGAACAGCCACACUGGAACUGAGACACGGUCCAGACUCCUACGGGAGGCAGCAGUGGGGAAUCUUGCGCAAUGGGCGAAAGCCUGACGCAGCGACGCCGCGUGAGUGAUGAAGGCCUUCGGGUUGUAAAGCUCUGUGGGGAGAGACGAAUAAGGUCCACCUAAUACGUGGACCGAUGACGGUAUCUCCUUAGCAAGCACCGGCUAACUCUGUGCCAGCAGCCGCGGUA